CAGCCGCCGCGGUAAUACGAAGGGUGCAAGCGUUACUCGGAAUUACUGGGCGUAAAGCGUGUGUAGGUGGUUGUUUAAGUCUGUCGUGAAAGCCCUGGGCUCAACCUGGGAAUUGCGAUGGAUACUGGGCGACUAUAGUGCGGUAGAGGAUAGUGGAAUUUCCGGUGUAGCAGUGAAAUGCGUAGAGAUCGGAAGGAACAUCUGUGGCGAAGGCGACUAUUUGGGCCAACACUGACACUGAGGCACGAAAGCGUGGGGAGCAAACAGGAUUAGAUACCCCUGUAGUCCCUGUCUCUUAUAC
rnacentral:rRNA from 1 species